rnacentral:lncRNA from 13 species
CUAGAAAUUUCUUUUUUUCUAGAAAUUAAAUCAGGAAUAUGUUAUUUCUUAUCAGCCACACAUUCGAAUUCGCAGACAUCCUAGUACGUGUGGUUUAAAAAUAUCACCUUCUGGAUGGCUCAGUGCUUAUCUGCCUCAGGAUCAGGAUAUCGAACGAAAAAUAUCGAUACUUGACUUAUCGGAAGAAACGUAUUCAUAGUGCACUUGUGUCGGAAAAGAAGUAUCGAUAACAUCAGAGAAAAAAAACCAAAAUCAAGAAAUAUUUGCAAAAACUAUAUUUUUGAGAUUUUCUAUUUCUCACGUAAUGCUUUUCACAUUUGUAUGUAUAUUGAUGAAUAAAAUAAAAAAUACAAACGUAACUUAUUUUAUAAUUAAAUUUCUUACCUUUUAUUUAUCAACUAAAAACGAUUGAAAUACGAUAAAAUCCGUAAAUUAUCGUUGAAAGCUGAAAUUUUCUUUUUAUUUACAUUUUAUUUAAAAUUUUUAUGAACAAAGUAAUUUUAAAUAUUAAUUAAAUAUUUUAAAAGUUAUAUUACUUACUAUUUACAUCUCUAUUUGUUUGACUUCAAUUCAUUAAAUCUAAAAAAAAAAAUCAAUGUAAUAGUAUUACAAUGUAAUAAUAUUGCAAAAUAUUGAAAAUAUUGUUUUCCUAAAAAGCAAAUAACAAUAAAAGUAUCGAUAUUCUUUCCGAGUAUAUUUCAUUUUCUUCAUCUCACACACACACACACACACAUAUUUGUAAUAUUGAUAGAAAGCAUCAAUAAACCAUUUGACGAUGAAAA